rnacentral:lncRNA from 1 species
UAAAUGAAUCUAAUACAUUUUUGGGAGGGAUCGAACACUUGUUCUCCUCCAUUUUCCAAUUGCACUCAGAACAUAACAAUUAUAUGGUAUCAGUCGCUGGAAGGAUUUAAGUGUUGUUGCUGAUCGGGGAGGUUAGUUGCUGAUCCAUCUUGCUUGCUGUUGCUGAUCGGUUUCCGCUGCGCGAUCAUGGCAGAUUCUGAUAAAGAUGUGGUAAAUGUCGCUCG